rnacentral:tRNA from 1 species
GGAGAGAUGACUCAGUGGUUAAGAGCACUGACUGCUCUUCCAGAGGUCCUGAGUUCAAUUCCCAGCAACCACA